AGGGAUUUAGCUCAGUGGCAUAAGUACCUGCCUUGCAAGCAGGUGGUCGUGAGUUCAACCCCCAGUAUCGA
rnacentral:tRNA from 1 species